rnacentral:rRNA from 1 species
AUUGAACGCUGGCGGCAUGCCUUACACAUGCAAGUCGAACGGUAGCGGGCCUUCGGGUGCCGACGAGUGGCGAACGGGUGAGUAAUGUAUCGGAACGUACCUUUCAGUGGGGGAUAACGUAGCGAAAGUUACGCUAAUACCGCAUAUUCUGUGCGCAGGAACGCAGGGGAUCGCAAGACCUUGCGCUGAUUGAGCGGCCGAUAUCAGAUUAGCUAGUUGGUGAGGUAAAGGCUCACCAAGGCGACGAUCUGUAGCGGGUCUGAGAGGAUGAUCCGCCACACUGGAACUGAGACACGGUCCAGACUCCUACGGGAGGCAGCAGUGGGGAAUUUUGGACAAUGGGGGCAACCCUGAUCCAGCCAUGCCGCGUGAGUGAAGAAGGCCUUCGGGUUGUAAAGCUCUUUCGGCCGGGAAGAAAUCGUAUCAGCUAAUACCUGGUGCGGAUGACGGUACCGGCAUAAGAAGCACCGGCUAACUACGUGCCAGCAGCCGCCGCGGUAA